CACCUCUCUUUUUCCCUCUUCCUCUUUCUUUCUUCCAGCCAACGUUCCAGCCAACGUUCAGCCACCAGCAAGCCGCGUGUGACUCGCACCACCUGUCACCUCCGACGUCACUGACGCUGCUGACGCUAAACAACCAGCCACGCGUCUCCUCUGCAAGGGAACAACAAGGGAGGGUUUUCGUUCACUGUUGCCAAGGGGUCUCCUGGUCCACAUCUUUAGUAAUUGCUUAUCUUAUUUGGAGAGAAGGCCAGAGUUUUGACGAUGCUUUUCAGUAUGUGAAAGCAGCGAGAGGAGAGAAGGCUAGAGUUUUUCUUGUCUGAGAUUUUUUAUCACAGGCUCUUUGGGAUAAAACUCUUGAGCUCAGAUUUUUACUUCAGAAAGCAAUCUAAAGUUCAAAUAAAUCAUCUCAGUGCUUUCACGCUAUAUGAUACGGAAAAAGGAAAAAGAGUUGUAAGUCUAAAGUAUUAUAGUCCAAAAUGCCGACAACAACCAAAAACCACAGAGUGCAGUAUCUACUGCAUGAAGUAUGCUAGGGAUCACAUUUCACAACAAAGAACCAGAGCAUAUCUAUCGAAUAAUUUCAAUUCAGAUUUACCAUAUACUGACGCUGAACUUAAUGAAGUUUAAGAAGAGUGGGCAAAAUAUAUUCUACCGCAUCUCGUUAAUGAUGGCAUGCAUGCUUAGUACCUAUGUGAGGGGAUUUAGUCAUUUUUUGAACUUUCUAGUUCUUUUAUUAGAAAUUGUUAGAACUAAUCAAAUACAGAAUCAAUCUAACAAAUUAUAGGUUGAGUUAAUUUAGCUUUUUGAGGUGCAUACUGUGCAAAAGAUUCAUUUUAUGACAAAUUUUUUUGGAACUAUGUAUUUCUUUUAUUUAGAAAGUGUUAGAACUAAUCAAAUAUAAAGUUAAUGCUAC